CCAAUAGCGUAUAUUAAAGUUGUUGCAGUUAAAAAGCUCGUAGUUGAAUUUCGGGAUCAAUAUAUCGGUCGUGCCAUUGGUACGUACUGGUAUCAUUGGUUUCUCCUUUCUGACGAACCAUGAUGUCAUUAAUUUGGUGUUAUGGGAAGUUAGGACUGUUACUUUGAAAAAAUUAGAGUGUUUAAAGCAGGCUUUAGCUUGAAUACAUUAGCAUGGAAUAAUGAAAUAGGUCGUUCGAACCUAUUUUGUUGGUUUCUAGGAUCAACGUAAUGAUUAAUAGGGAUAGUUGGGGGCAUUAGUAUUCAAUUGUCAGAGGUGAAAUUCUUGGAUUUAUUGAAGACUAACUACUGCGAAAGCAUUUGCCAAGGAUGUUUUCAUUAAUCAAGAACGAAAGUUAGGGGAUCGAAGACGAUCAGAUACCGUCGUAGUCUUAACCAUAAACUAUGCCGACGAGGGAUCGGAUGAUGUUAAAUUUUUUAAUGACUCAUUCGGCGCCUUACG
rnacentral:rRNA from 1 species